UGGGACGUUACGAUGUCGACUUGGAGGUUGUGCCCUUGAGGCGUGGCUUCCGGAGCUAACGCGUUAAGUCGACCGCCUGGGGAGUACGGCCGCAAGGUUAAAACUCAAAUGAAUUGACGGGGGCCCGCACAAGCGGUGGAGCAUGUGGUUUAAUUCGAUGCAACGCGAAGAACCUUACCUACUCUUGACAUCCAGAGAACUUAGCAGAGAUGCUUUGGUGCCUUCGGGAACUCUGAGACAGGUGCUGCAUGGCUGUCGUCAGCUCGUGUUGUGAAAUGUUGGGUUAAGUCCCGCAACGAGCGCAACCCUUAUCCUUUGUUGCCAGCGGUUAGGCCGGGAACUCAAAGGAGACUGCCAGUGAUAAACUGGAGGAAGGUGGGGAUGACGUCAAGUCAUCAUGGCCCUUACGAGUAGGGCUACACACGUGCUACAAUGGCGCAUACAAAGAGAAGCGAACUCGCGAGAGCAAGCGGACCUCAUAAAGUGCGUCGUAGUCCGGAUCGGAGUCUGCAACUCGACUCCGUGAAGUCGGAAUCGCUAGUAAUCGUGGAUCAGAAUGCCACGGUGAAUACGUUCCCGGGCCUUGUACACACCGCCCGUCACACCAUGGGAGUGGGUUGCAAAAGAAGUAGGUAGCUUAACCUUCGGGAGGGCGCUUACCACUUUGUGAUUCAUGACUGGGGUGAAGUCGUAACAAGGUAACCGUAGGGGAACCUGCGGUGU
rnacentral:rRNA from 1 species